rnacentral:rRNA from 1 species
UGGGGAAUAUUGGACAAUGGGGGAAACCCUGAUCCAGCGACGCCGCGUGUGUGAAGAAGGCCUGCGGGUUGUAAAGCACUUUUAGUGGGGACGAAAAGUUCAUGGUUAAUAACUGUGGAUCUUGACUUAACCCAAAGAAAAAGCACCGGCUAACUCUGUGCCAGCAGCCGCGGUAAUACAGAGGGUGCGAGCGUUAAUCGGAAUUACUGGGCGUAAAGCGCGCGUAGGUGGUUUUGUAAGUCAGAUGUGAAAGCCCCGGGCUCAACCUGGGAACUGCAUUUGAGACUGCAUGACUAGAGUAUGGGAGAGGGCAGUGGAAUUUCAGGUGUAGCGGUGAAAUGCGUAGAUAUCUGAAGGAACAUCAGUGGCGAAAGCGACUGCCUGGCCCAAUACUGACGCUCAUGUGCGAAAGCGUGGGGAGCAAACAGG